UCCGGCCGGGAACUCAAAGGAGACUGCCAGUGAUAAACUGGAGGAAGGUGGGGAUGACGUCAAGUCAUCAUGGCCCUUACGACCAGGGCUACACACGUGCUACAAUGGCGCAUACAAAGAGAAGCGACCUCGCGAGAGCAAGCGGACCUCAUAAAGUGCGUCGUAGUCCGGAUUGGAGUCUGCAACUCGACUCCAUGAAGUCGGAAUCGCUAGUAAUCGUGGAUCAGAAUGCCACGGUGAAUACGUUCCCGGGCCUUGUACACACCGCCCGUCACACCAUGGGAGUGGGUUGCAAAAGAAGUAGGUAGCUUAACCUUCGGGAGGGCGCUUACCACUUUGUGAUUCAUGACUGGGGUGAAGUCGUAACAAGGUAACCGUAGGGGAACCUGCGGUUGGAUCACCUCCUUACCUGAAAGAA
rnacentral:rRNA from 1 species